rnacentral:lncRNA from 1 species
CUGAGAGACUCUAUUCUAUUCAUCCACCCAAAGGAGGAAUUCAUACUCAAAUAUCCCUGACAAAUGACCCAUUGACAAUUCUGAGACUUUCCUGGCUCAGCAAUCUACAGAUCAUUCAUCAGCAUGUAAAUGUCUUCCCAGCAGUAACCUUGGCAUUCCCAGAACAACAUACUCUCCUUCUUAUCCCUGGUCCAUCAGGGCCAUUUAAAAAAUUGCAAACUCUAGACUUAAAGUAUUCAGCACAUAGGAGAGACUCAAUCUGGUACUUGGUAUAGUCCCUGCUUGCAAGAUAAAUAAAUGAAAGAAUCAAAGAAUACACACGCAUUACCAAAAUCACAGAGAAGAAAGAAUCAAGACAAGUGCUAUCCAAACUUCUGCGUUCAGAGAAACCUUGAAUCAGGGAAUAUCUAUAAAUAGAAACUGGGAGAGUAGUGUUCCACAAAACUCACUUUGAGAAACGCUAGGCUAGAUGAAGUUACAACAGAGAAGUAGUAACUGGUUUUGACUAUUCUUCAAGUCUUCUCUCAAACACUCUGCACCAAAGAAGCCAGCCCACAUUUCUCAUUUGUUUGUGUAUCUGUAAAAUGUUGAACUUCUAUUAAAACUGUCAUCAAAAUA